UUUGUUUUUUAAAAAAAACUAGAGCGAGCCACGGCGCAUGCGUGGGAUAACUGGGGCGCAGGCCGUUCCGGCCGACCUGUGAGGGAAUCGAGGGGCGAGGGGAGGGAGGGGCUCGAGCUGAGGGAGGGAGCGAGCGAGCAAGCCCAUUGGCGGGCUCCUGAGGCGGGGCGGGGGGCGUUUUGGCGGGCGCGGCUUAAAUUCGGAGGCGCGCUCGGAGAGGAGUUUUUCGAGCCUGGUGUAGGCUCUUCUGGAGCCAGACUUAACAGAUGUCUUGCAGGGUGCUUUUUCGUGGACUAGCGCCCACAUUUCGUGUUGUUGUUUUUGAUUCCCCCCCCCCCCGCAAUUAAAGAGGUGGCUCAAAAUAAAUAAAGCAUUUAAGGUGCUAUAUGUAAGAUGAGGCCUCCAUGGUUUCCUGACACGAGAUUUUUCCUGAAGUAAAAUAAGGAAAAAUAAAAACCGCGAAAUCCCCUUUGUUACAAGGAGGCCUGUCCCCACUUAGCUGUUCGCCCUGAAGCUGCUACAAGACAUACUCUUCGUCCUGAAGUGAAAACAGAAAUGGAAGUUCUUUUUUCCUCACAAGGAGGCUUAUCCUCAGGGAACCAUGCUAGGCUUGUGAGGAUCCAGCCCGCCUCUUAAAACGAAAUGUCCAUGCUGUUCACCUGCUCCAAAUCCAUCGUCACCACCAAGAAGGACAAGAGACACAUGGCGGAAGUCUGGUUUUCCCCUGGUGUGAUUUGUCUUCCAUCAUCAGUCAUUACCAGUCAUCAUAGAGUAUGUUGCUUUCUUUCUUUGAAUGAAGGCUUCAUGAUUUGAACUAUAUGCAUGUGCAACAUCUCCCUGAGUACACCGUUUCCUCCUUUUGGAUCUGAGAACUCAUUACUUGCAUUGUAUGUUCUCUUUACAGUCUCAUUUUGAAGACAUCUCAGACUUUGUUCAAAUAUCUGCAUAUAUUGGUUUUUUUACUUUUCAAUUGCAUGUUGUAAUUAUAUUUGGUAUUAUGUUAUUGUAUGUCUAUAUGUGUUAUACAGAUGUGUUUGAUGGUU